rnacentral:lncRNA from 1 species
AAGCGUUUAGAGCCUCCAGCAGUAAGUACAGCCUGGGAGCCUUUUUACAAAUUGGGAAGAAGCAGCUUCUGUGCUGUGUCCUUGGCCAGGGGUCCUGCCAGAAUGCCCUGCACAGCUAUAGGCAGGAGUCCCCUCUGGAACCACCCAUUGAAAGAAUAUGGGUGCAAACCCCAUGUGUGUUGGGGUGGGGAAGGGAAGGACAAGGAUCAGAGAAUAGAAGUGACAGUCUGCACCAGGGGGGUUGGGGCAAGAAAAGAGAAAAGGGCCUCAGACCCUGGUCAGCUCCUAGGAAGAGAUCAGGAGGGCUAAUUGUCACAAAACCCAGGGAGGAUGACUUUCAUGGAGGGGCAGUCCACAGGGUCCGAUGAACAAAGUGAUGAAGGACAUGGAUGAUGACAUGGAUGAUGAGGGCAGGCAGACACUUGCAGCAGAAGGAUAGAGCCGGGAGGAGGGUGGCAGAGGACUGAGGAGGACGAGGCAGUGAGUGCCCACAUAGGGUCGGAGUUUGCACUGCACUUUCAAGAAGUGUGUCAAGAAGGAAAGGAGAAAACAGGAGGACAUCUCAUUGUAGUGGCGGAGAGGGGAUGGCGGUUUCCUUAAGCUAGGAUGGGACCAUGUAGUCAGGCAGGUGGCAGUUACCUCAGCAAUGAUGACAGUGUAGUUGCUGCUAUGCUGGACGGAGUCCAGAGAACUAGGGACACCGGUAGCAGUAAUCACUAUCUAGCCCAAGAAUCUUGGGGAAGUGACAUUGAAGCUGAAUCUUGAAAAGUGAUAGUACUAGUAGGUGGCAGAGCUGGGAUUUGACACGUGGAACCUCUACAUGUUCCUGCCUCUCCUCCAAUCUCAAGAAUAGGCCUGACGCUGGGGUGCCUGUGGCAAGCUGUGUGAUCCACCCACAAUGCAUAAAAGGAUGUGUGAAUAAUUUUGAGAUCCCACUGAAGGUCACACAGUGUGGCUUUAUGAUGAGACAACCACAUAAGAAAUACUCUGUAUCCUAAGGGAGGGAGGGGAAAUGGUGGGCUUCCCUGAGGUGAGAGAGCAAGAGUCUGAACUUCAAACACUGUUGAAGUGGCUCACACUGGGGCAGGCAGGUGAGGAAAUGAAGGAAAUUAAAAGAUCUCAGUUGAAAAGGAGGAGUACUAGCACUCAUGGGGGCUCAUGUGACUUUUGUCAGCCAGGGGUAGUUGUGCAUGCAUCUAGUUCUAGCUACUUGGGAGGCUGAGACAGGAGGAUCUCUUGAGCUAGAAGUUCAAGGCCAGACUGGGCAACAUAGCAGAUCAUCUCCAAACAAACAAAUGAACAAACAAAGCAGCUGUGGAAUAUUAAGGAGGGAUUAUCAGAGGAAUUUGGGGUCAGAACCGUCAUUCAAGAGGGGGCUGAGCUGGGGACGGUUGUGCAGACCUGUAAUCCCAGUGGCCUGGGAGGCUGAGGCUGGAGGAUUCAAAGCUAACCUCAGCAAAAGUGAGGAGCUAAGUAACUCAGUAAAACUGUCUCUAAAUAAACUACAAAAUAGGGUUGGGGAUGUGACUCAAUGGUCGAGUGCCUCUGAGUUCAAUCUCCAGACCCCCCAAAAAAGAGGGGGCUAAAGGCCCUGAAAACCAUGGAGUUAAGGAUCUUAAAGAAAAGAGAGGAUGGGAAAAGCAUAGACUUUGGAGUCAGACAAAGUUUGAAGCCUAGUUUGUUUACUUGUUGAGUGACCUUGAUCAAGUUGGGUACCAAGUUAGUGAGUCUUGUCUGUUUUGCAGGGCACAUGAUAGGGCCCAGGUACAGCAGGUGCUUUUCAAGGGUACUCCUCUGCCCACUUCUUCUGGAAGAAUCACCAACCUGGAGGUUGAAGUCCUUUAAUUUGUUUCCAUUCCUUGGUGAGCUGGGAAUACAAAGACAAAUAAAAAUAGACAAUAAUAGCUGGACCCAGUUGUACAUGCUUGUAAUUUCAGGUACUGAGGAGGCUGAGGCAGGAGGAUAUCAAGUUUGAUGCCAGCUUUAGUCACUUAGUAAGACCCCAUCUCAAAAUUUUAAAAAGUAAAUAACUUUUUUGAGAUCCCAUUGAAGGUCACACAGUGUGGCUUUAUGAUGAGACAACCUGGUCUGAUUCUGGUGGCUGAGGCAAGAGGAUUGCAAGUUCAAGUCCUGCCUUGACAACUUAGUGACACCUGUUGCAAAAUUAAUGAGUGGUGCAUGUCUGUAAUUCCAGGGGUUUGGGAGGUUGAGAAAGAAGGAUCACAAGUUCAAUGUCAGCCUCAGCGAUUUAGUGAGACCCUAUCUCAAAAUAAAAAAAUGAAAAGCACUGGGGGUGUAGCUCAGUGGUAGGUACCCCUGAGUUCAAUCCCCAAUGCCAGGGAAUGGGAGAGACAAUAAUAAAGGAGAUUAUUAGUGGGGAAAGAUAAUUGCAUAAACAAAAUACAGUAUGAUUGGUUCUAUGAAAAGAUGCAACAUACUGUCAGAGGAUAGAGUAACUCUUUUAAUUUACUAUUUGUAGGGCACCUGCUAUAUGCCAGGUAUAUUCUAGACUCUGGGGAUACAGCAAAGAAUAACCAGGAUGGAGUUGCUGCUCUUAUGAAGUUUUCAUUCCAGGUGCUGAAGAAUGGGGGUCACGGAGGUGAACUCAUGGAGGAGGAAUGCUUGUGCAGGGCUUAAAAUAAAUGAUAGCACUAGGCAUGGUGGCACAUUCCUGUAAUCCCAGUGGCUCCGGAGGCUGAGACUGGAGGAUCACAGGUUCAAGGUCAGCUUUAGUAAUUUAGUGAGGCCUUAAGCAACUGAGCAAGAACCUUUAUCAAAAUAAAACAUAAAAAGGGCUGGGGAUAUUGUUAGGUGGUUAAGUGUUGGGUUCAAUCCUGGGUACAAAAAAAAAAAAGUAGGAACUUUCUGGAGAGACACAGGGAUUAAGAGGAAUACUUUCCAGAUAGAAUGACCACUGGCACUGUGACAUGGUAUAGCACCCAACAGCAUACGAACUCUUCUGUUUCAGAUCUGUAUGUCUUACUGGUCACUAGAUUUUAUUAUCCCUAAUCUUAUUCAUAUAACUCUUUAACCUAUGAUCUUCCCACAUCUGUUAUUAUUUUUUGCUUUAAAAAUUUUUAGAUUUAUUGACGUGUAAUUUGCAUGCAGAUCAUUCACUCUUUUUAGGUAUACAGUUCAGUGGGAUUUGACAAAUGAAUUCAGUUGUGGAACUGCUACUAUGAUCAAAACACAGUUCAUUUCAUCACCUUGAUGUGUUUUGACACGUUCCUUCAGAGUCAGUCUCUCACCCCCUGCCUUCAGCUCUGGCCAUUCCUGAUCUGUUCGCUGUUCCUGUAGUUUUUCCUUUUCCAUAUUAUCUUAUAAUUUGAAUCAUUUGGUGUGUAGCUUUUUUUUUCUCUGACUCCCUUAGCUUAGCAUAAUGUUUUGGGGAUUCAACCUAUGUUGUUGCAGGUAUCACUAGUCACCCCCCACCCCUUUAAAAAUUGUCCUCUAUUGUCCAUUUUAGGAAGUUAUUCUAGUUUAUUCAUUUACCACUAGAUGGAUAAUUGUGUUCUUCUAAAUUUGUAGUUGUCAUGAAUAAAGCUGCUUGUCUUUGUGUGAAUAUAUGUUCUCAUUUGGAUAAAAAGCCCAGGAAUAGUUUGCUGGGUUGCACAAUAAGGGUAUGUUUACAAGAAACUGCCAAACUAUUUUUUUUUUCUUUCUUUCUUUUCUCUUUUGGUACUUGGUAUUAAACCCAGAGGCACUUUACCACUGAGCCAUAACCCUGGACCUUUUAUUUUUUUAUUUUGAAACAGAGUCUCACUAAAUUGUUGAGGCUGGCCUAGAAUUUGUGAUCCUCCUGCCUCAGUCUCCUGAGUCUGGGAUUACAGGUGUGGGCCAGGAUCACCCAGGUAUUAUUUCUUCUUCUCCUUCUCCUUCUCCUCCUCCUCCUCCCCCUCCUCCUCCUCCUCCUCCUCCUCCUCCUUCUUCCUAGGGAUUUAACCACUGAGCCAUAAUCCCCAGCCUUUUUUCUUUUAUUUUUUAUUUUAAGACAGGGUCUUGCCAAGCUACUUAAGGCCUCCCUAAAUGACUGAGGCUGACCUCAAAUUUGAGAUCUUCCUGCUUCAGCUUCCCAAACUGCUGGGAUUACAGGUGUGCACCACCACACCUGGCAUACUACAGCCUUUUCAAUGAAUUUAUCCUUGUAUCUCAGUUCAAAUAUUGCUUCCUCAGGAAGUUUAUCUAAUGCCUUCAAGUUAAUGUACUCUCAUAGGAUCAUGUUUCAUUAAAAGUUAUUUAUAUGGGCUGGGGAUGUGGCUCAAGCGGUAGCACGCCCGCCUGGCAUGUGUGCCGCCCAGGUUCGAUCCUCAGCACCUUAGGGGGAUCAGAGCUGCUUUGGGACCCUAACCAGGUCCCAGAUUUUUGACCCAACUUACUGAGGCCAUCACCAAAUAUACAAAUUUAAUGUCAGCAGCCCUAAUGGCAGGCUUCUUCCACACUUUAUCUGUGGAUCUGCACCUGACAACCACAAGAAACUCAGACGAUUAAAGAAGGGUCUUGAGUCUCCUCAACAGUUACUUUUAGAUAAGGUUUUCUUCAACUGGGAGGAUAAAACCAAAAAGAAAAGAAGAAGACAACUUAAAAUUAAAUACCAGCUCUUGGCCUCUACAAUUCAGGGCCAAAAACCAGGACCCUGUCUUCGAUGUAGACAGCAUGGACACUGGGCAAGAGCCUGCCCUAACCUGAGGCUUCCCACCGAGCCCUGACCCAAGUGUGAGCAAUGGAGAUACUGAAAGGUUGACUGUCCUCAAGGAAAACACCCCUCCUCUCAUGUGCAGCCAGUUUCUUAGGUCCCCUAAUACAUCAAAGAGCCUCAAAUUACAGAAAUAAUAAAUAGUCAAACAGCAGAUAAAUAUUCUACUUCUAAAGAGAUUUUAAAGACACAAGAAGCCAACAGGCCCAAAAGUAUUCAACUCCUCCCAGCCUACAACACAAAAGAAGGACUUCAAAACUCUCCCUCUCUCUCUCUCUUUGUCAUCCUUUCAUGCUGCUAAACUGAAACAAUUAACAGAAAAAUUCUCUCAUGUUGCUGAACUGAAAUUAUUAAUAGCUAUAUCAUUUUUUCCUGGGAUUCUUAUUUUUACAAUUCUAUAUUUUGAGUUCAUAAUUUUCAUCCUAUGCACCUAAAUUAUAAUUUCUGAUCAGACCUGUUUUAUAGAGGCCAAUUUACAAAAAUUGACUCUUAAUCUAAUAAAUUUCAAAAGUUGUAAGGCCUUUACUUGUUGUUCUAUGCUGACUUGUCCAUGUGUGUCAGAACCAACAUAUAGAGAGCUCAUAAACUAAAAUUAAAAAAUGGAUCCAAAUACCUUUGAUUUAUAUGAUUUAAAGGUUCAAUGUAAGUUGGGUAGACAAACAAAAGUAAAGAUAUCUUUAAAAUUACUUAACCCAAGUCUCUCUAGGUGGUCAACAACUAAUGAAAUGUUAACAUCUAUAAAAUGUCUAAUAUCUAUUGUUUCUAAGACUUCUCUUCAACAAGGGAAAAAUGACUUAUACUAUUUAAUACACUUGUCUGAUAUCUUUUUUUUUUUUACAGUAAGUAAGUAAAUUAAGCUUAACAUGUAAGAGAUUUGACAUGUAUGGAAGUACUUAUAAAUGUGUUUGUUAGAGACAUCUGAUUAAUCUACAAAGUUAAUAUGCUAACUAUUAAAUAUAACAUCAAGUACUCUUAGCUCCUUAAAGUCCAUACAGUAACAUUAUUGGUGUUUUCAUAGAUUGGUAAAUGAAAAAGGGGAUUAAAAAAUGCUCUGUGUCAUUACUUAAAAUAAGAUUACUAAAAAUUUAAAGUGCCAAACAGGUGUAAUUCUAUAUACUUGAACAUUGUGUUUUCAUGAAAUGGUAAACAGAUGUAAUUCUAUAUACAAAGGUUUAUAGAAGAUUUCUAUAUACAAAGGCCCAAAAGCUUUCAAGUGUGUUUCAAUUAGACUAUUAUAAAUAACAAAAUAUUCCUUCUCAUUAAAAUGAAGUAAUUUAUCUAGAUUCAGAAAUUUAUAAGAAUUGUUUCAAAAUGUAAACAUAAAAGGGGGUUAAUAGAAAAGAGAAAUUAGAAUUUCUAGGUACGAAAACUAAAACAAGAGAGUUUAAUUGAGAAAGAACGUCUAUGUAAAGAAUUGGCAAAUUUCAAGAAGCUUAAUUAUUUUUUUGUGUGGAAUAAUCAGUCAAAGAUAAUCAAAGUUUUUCUCUAAGGUAAAAAUGUUAAUGUAAUGAUGUAAAACAGAGUUUAAUCCAAGUGUUAAAGUAACAAGAAUUUCUUGAAACAUUAAUUUUACUCUUAACAUUGUGGCUAUUAAGUUUUUUCUUUUCUUUUUUUUUGAAACCGGGGAUUGAAUUUAGGGGCACUUGACCACUGAGCCACAUCCCCAGCCCAAUUUUAUAUUUUAUUUAGAGACAGAGUCUCACUGAGUUGCUUAGCCUAUUGCUGAGACUGGCUUUGAACUCACGAUUCUACUGUCUCAGCCUCCCAAGCCGCUGGGAUUACAGGUGAGCGCCACUGCACCUGGCUGCUAUUAACGUUUAUUCUGUAGAACAACUAAUCUUAGAAAGAUUAAAGUUUAUAGGACUGUGGUUAAACAACAGCUGUUAUUUUGGAGUAUUAUACUAUGUUACAAAGUCUAGGUUUUUCUUUAAGAGCUAAACUUGAUUAAUAUAAUGACAUCAAUAUGAUUAUGGUACUAAUAUAUUAAAUUUAUUCAUUUCUUCCAGGUAUACAAGUCUUUAAGGUAAAAAGGUUAAAAACAAAAACAAAAGCAUUUUAUUGAACUGGUAUUCUCCAAACUAAGGUUAUCUGAUAGACUUAUAAGGAUAACAAUUUUAUUGAAGAUUUAUUUAUGUCAUUUAAUGUUUUAUGACUAGAUCUGUUAUCAAUAAGAUUUAUAAAGUUUGGUGUUACCUUUUACAUUGGAAUAAAAUUUAAAUGUAUUUUUAAGUUAACGAGAGGCUAAUCUGUUUAAAGGUUAAUACUGUAAAACACAGAAACAUUUUGCUACUUUUCCACAAAAAAGGUUAAAACUCUCUCAACCUUUCUUUAAUUCAUGUUUUAAAUGUAAUGUCAUAUUGUUAGCUGACAUUCAUGUGGACUCAGGAAACAAUAUAUGUAAACUUUAUAAAAUGAUAUUUAAGGAAGAGACAAAAAUCACCUUCACAACUAAAACACUUUACCUAAAAUUCAUCAAGAGCCUCAUCCUAAGAUAAGGCCCUGCCUCCCAUCUUACUACAUGUUAAAUGGCUCAAAAACAGGUCAAACUUCAACUCAUUUAAAUUUAUGUCCAAAAGAGUAAUGUUUAUUGUAAAGAUUACUGUAAUUUGAAUUAGUUAUGAUAUAUAAGGCAGCCAAAAUUAAACAUAGCUGUUACAUAAACUAGACAUUUUUACUCUUGUUAAUUUCAUUUUGUAUUUUCUUUGUAAACUUUAUGGCUAUUGCUUAUUAAUGUUUUACAGACUGUGGGCCCUUAAGAAGCCCCUACAAAUCUCUCCAUUCAAACUUAUAUAUGGGCAUCCAAUGAUGCCACCCACUAUACGAUCCCAGGCCCCAACUAUUCCACCAUACCUUUUAACCCCACAAUCAAAGUCUACCAUUCCAUCAGCUUUGGGACGGUUCCUCACAAUGGCAACCCCACACUUUGUAGAGACCCUCCUAAAUUGUGCACUAGAUAAAUGGAUGACUUUAACAGUCAUAUUAUUCAAUGUCAGAGACUGUUGCUUAACCACCCUCCAUUCACCUUUGUCCCCCCAAGGGCCCUUAACCCCACCUCCCAGAUGCUAGAAGAUGAUCCCUAUGAGCCCCUCCACCGACUGUGAGGAUAUACUUGACCAGGUGAGCUCAGGAAGGCCUGACUUGACCGAUGUUCCUUUGGCUGAGGCUGAAGCCAUCCUGUUCACAGAUGGCAGCAGCCAAGUCAUAGAUGGGGCUCAGAAGGCUGGAGCCAUGGUCACAAUGGAAACAGAAAUCAUUUGGGCUCAAAUACUCCCCAAAGGAACUUCAACCUGGACACAGCAGGGGAAGCUUAUUGGCCUUAUACAGGCUUGAAGGUGCGGAAGGUAAGAAAGUAAACAUUUACACAGACAAUAGAUAUGCACAUAUGAAUGGAGCCACCUACAGGGAGGGAGGUUGCUAACUGCUGAGGAAAAGCCCAUAAAAAUAAUAGCACACACCAGACUAGGAAAGCCAUUAACUUACCAAACUCAAACAAAAGCUCUCUGGCGACUCUUCCUCUUCCUCUCUCACCAGCCUGUGGAACCCUAUCCUUACUUGGGUCUUACCCCUCCUGGGACCCCUCACUGCCAUUUUUUUGCCUGGUUUUUGUUACCAUGUGUUUUUAAGUAUUAACCAUUAUGGAAACCAUCAUGGCAAGGAUCAAACCUUCACCAACCGAAGAGUCAAUCAGAUGCUCCUGGGAAGACAUGUUCCCGCCAGAAGAAACGCCCUUCUAGGACCUGCUUCUGCCCCUGUCUUCACCCCCAUUCAGCAGGAAGCAGCUACAAGAAGAGUGACCUUCGCUCACCAGCUCCCCGCCCCCCUCCUGCCUCAGAGCCUCUUAUCCAAACCAAAAGGGAGGAAUGUUAACAUCCUCAGAAUCUGAGGUGAUGCCUGGCUUCUUGCUUUGGAGAUGGAGUGAUGUUGCCCAGACAGGGAGUGUGAGAGAAUGUGAGGCCUGGAGGGUAGCAUUAGAUGAUGACUUCAGUUUGGAGCCUGUAUUGGUUUAGAUGUGGCAUCCCCCAAAAGCUCACGUGUGAGACAAUGCAAGAAGGUUUGGAGGAGAAAUGAUUGGGUCAUAGCCUUAACCUAAUCAGUGAAUUAAUCCCUGAUGGGACUGACUGAGUGGUAACUGGAAUGAAGAUGAAAGGAAGGAAGGAAGGGAAAGGAAAGAAAAGAAAAAAAAAAUGGGUCUGUGGCGUCCAUGAGAGUUGGAUUUUGACCUGGGAGCCAUCAUCCCUAAGAGUGGAUGGGAUUGCCUAGAAGGGGAGGUGGAGACAGAUUCCAAUAUUCAAGCUGAGACUCCUAAUCUGGGCCUUGUGAGUGGAUUUCCCUGAGUCCAUGUGCCCCUUGAAUUGUACAGGAGAAGCUAGGCAGUAUGGGGUUGUCUUUAAGAGUCUCAAAGGGAUAUAUGACCCACCAAAAUUAAGGACUAUGGAUAUAAGCACCAGGUAUGUAUAAAAAGAUUCAAUGAAGAAGAGUGAUUAGGAAGGGGUGACCAGAGAAAUGGUGAGAAACUCAGGAGAUGUCAGGAGACUAAGGUUGGGUAACUUAGCUAGACCCUGACUCAAAAUUAGGACUGGGGAUAUAGCUUGGGAGUAGAGUGACCCUGGGUUCAAUCCCUAGUACCACCACCAACAAGGUUUUCCUGAGUUGCUUAGGGCCUUGCCUUUACUGAGGCUGGCUUUGAACUCUUGAUCUUCCUGCCUGAGCCUCCCAAGCCGCUGGAAUUAUAGGUGUGCGCCAAUGAACCCAGCUACCCUUCCUUCGUUUUAAGGAAGAAGUGUUUUGAACAUGGAUGUAAGUAGAAGAGAAAAAUCCUGCCUGGAUAUGGGUGGGAGGAGCACAAUAAGAGAGAGAAGACAUUGACAGGCAGGCUCUCAGAAGCGGGAUUCAGCACAGGUGGAGGGCCUGUGCCUGGGCAGAGGGAGCGCCACCUCCACCCCAAGAAAGAAGCAAGGGCGGCAGCGGAGAUGCGUAAUAGGCAGAAGACAUUAUUAAGGAUGUGGUGGCAGCAAAGGGGCCCCUCCAGGCACCAGGAGUUUAUGACUGUGGUGACUAGCAAAGAGAAGGAGCAAGGUGCGUCAGUUCUCAUUCCCAUUGUUCUGGGCUCUUCUGUUAUGAAGCUUUUACUGUCUUUCUCUAGCUGGGGACACGCUCAUCCAGGAAGCCUUCCCUGACUGAUACCGCCACUUGACCCUCUUCCCAGAAGCUGGCUCAGUUCCCC